UCUUCCGUUUGUUUACUCAUCGUUAAUUUGCGUUCAAUGUUUCUUGUCGUGUCAUAUUUAUUUGCAUUAAUUAUUCGCUGUAAUUCUGAUCGAUCUAAUAUUCUCGCAAGAUGGCAAGUACAUUCUUAUACUUUGCUUAUGGCAGCAACUUGUUAACGAAAAGAAUUCACUUUAAUAAUCCAACAGCAGUACGAAAGGAUAUUGGUCGCUUAAAAAAUUACAGACUUGAUUUUAUAACGUACUCUAAAAGAUGGGGAGGAGCAGCAGCAACGAUAGUUCCUACAGAAAACUCUUCUGUAUGGGGUGCAAUUUGGGAAUUAGAUCAAUGUAAUCUUUCUACGUUAGAUUGUCAAGAGGGUGUUAUGGACAAUAUAUACUUUCCAUUAACUGUUGAUGUUGAAACUCCCAGCGGUGAUGUUUUGAAAUGUAGAGUAUAUCAGCAAACUAUUGUACCAGCUAACUAUAUCAAACCAAUGUGCUUGCCAAUCGAGAGACUACCAUCGCCUCUUUAUUUAGAAACAAUUAUUAAAGGUGCUCAAGAGAGUCAACUUCCUGAUAGUUAUAUACAAUUCUUAAAGAUGAUUUCGCACAAUGGAUUUAAUGGAAAAUGUGAACUUAGCUUAUCUUUGAAAGAAACUUAACAUCUGCGACUCUAAACCUUGGCUAAAUCUGGAAAAUUCAGCUAUUAAUAAUUCUCAAGUUUCCUGUACAAUUUGUUUAAGAUGGGUUCUUUUCUAAUACAUCUUUAUUCAAUUGUGCUUCCUCAUUAUUUAUAAGAUAAUACAGCAUAGAAUAAAAUAUUAUCUCACGAUAA
rnacentral:misc_RNA from 1 species